rfam:Verticillium longisporum isolate VL1 genome assembly, contig: scaffold_97
GCGCGAUUGGUUUAGUGGUAUAACGUCUGCUUAGCAUCCGAGAUCAUGAGAUCGUGAGAUACUAUCUGCUGAAGGUCGCGCGUUCGAUUCGCGCAUUGUCCA